UUGAGUUGAGUUGAGUUAAGUUGUUAUUUAUCUUGUCUCACUCAUCUUCUUAGGUUGUGAUGAUAUAGAUUAAAAUAGUCUUAGUUCAUUAGUUGGAUCAUUGCAUGAUGCAGAAUUGCUGGAGAUUAGAAAGGGUAUUUCAAGGGAAUAGGAACAUGAGACUAAGUAGAGUUUGGUGAAAGGGUUAGGAUACAGAAAAUGGUGAAGUCCAUUUGAAAUUUAUGGUGGUCUUCAUACUUCAAAUCCAUAAUUAUGAAGUUAAAUUUUCAUAAUUUAUCUUCCAAACAUUGAUUGUAAAAAAUAAAAAAUAAAAAGCAUAUGAAUUUCGAGGGGUUUUGGUAGUGUAAAAUAGAGCAAGGAAACAUGUGAAAUGAAAUCACUCUUGUUCUGAAUUCUGAUCACAACCCCAGUUUCAACAGUCUUUCUAUACUUCAGCUCCUAGUCCCACCUUUGCAACUACCUCGAUUUCCUUUGGCUUUGCAAG
rnacentral:misc_RNA from 1 species